GAGGAGGGCACAAGAUUGCUGCAGUUUUUUGUAUUUUUUCCAUUAUUUUUCAUCACUCUCGCUUUUCUGUUGUUUUUUUUCACCCUUUUGCUU
rnacentral:ribozyme from 1 species